rnacentral:rRNA from 1 species
AUUGAACGCUGGCGGCAGGCCUAACACAUGCAAGUCGAACGGCAGCACAGAAGAGCUUGCUCUUUGGGUGGCGAGUGGCGGACGGGUGAGUACUGUCUGGGAAACUGCCCGAUGGAGGGGGAUAACUACUGGAAACGGUAGCUAAUACCGCAUAACGUCGCAAGACCAAAGUGGGGGACCUUCGGGCCUCACACCAUCGGAUGUGCCCAGAUGGGUUUAGCUAGUAGGUGGGGUAAUGGCUCACCAAGGCGACGAUCCGUAGCUGGUCUGAGGGGACGACCAGCCACACUGGAACUGAGACACGGGACAGACUCCUACGGGAGGCAGCAGUGGGGAAUUUUGGACAAUGGGCGCAAGCCUGAUGCAGCCAUGCCGCGUGUAGGAAGAAGGCCUUCGGGUUGUAAAGUACUUUCAGAGGGGAGGAAGGCGGUGAGGCUAAUAACCUUGCCGAUUGACGUUACCCGAAGAAGAAGCACCGGCUAACUCCGUGCCAGCAGCCGCAGUAACAC